rnacentral:tRNA from 1 species
GCCUCUGUAGCUCAAUGGAUUGAGCACCCGACUACGGAUCGGGAGGUUGCGCGUUCGAGUCGCGCCUGGGGCA